CACAGGUGGGAUUGUGACAUACCUAGGCCUAGCUCACAGGUGUGAUGAUGACUGUCAUAUGUGGACCCAACCAACAGAAAAGAUUUUGACUCUCAUGGCUAGAAUUAGGGGAAUAGCCAAUGGAUGAAAAAACUGAUGAAGAGAAGACACAUUUGGUUCUUACUUACACUUCACUUCCACUCACUAUUUGUCAGUGUGGAUAGAGCUGAGAACAGCAGUUUCCUGGCAGGACAGCCACUUGUCAG
rnacentral:lncRNA from 10 species